GCUUCUAAUUCCCUCAGUUGCUGCCGCUGCUUGAUCAGGUCAUUGCUGCUGCUAUGUCUACUUACUGAUGCCAAAGAGUUUAUCCUCCUACAAUCUAUCAUCUUCUCCAUCCCUUUGUUGCCGGCACCAUUGGUCCUUCUAGUUGCCGCUGCUGCUCAUUGUUUUUUCAUCCACUGAAACGAAUUCUUGGUAAUCCAAUUUGUUGAAAGGGUACCUGAAUGAUUUUGGAGGACAUUAACUUAUAGUGAGGCGGAAUGCACAUUUGGGAGUGGAGAAAUGAAGGAUAUGCUUAUCUUGUUGACCAAUCCAGCCAGAUCCUAUUUAAUUGAGGUGCUAUUAGAACAAUCUUACUUAAGGCAUGCAAAACUCAGAUAACCAAGAAAUCUAGCGAAGUCUCACAGGAGUUCUAAUUGCAAGUUGUUGUGUAACAAUUUUGAACAUACAACAACCUGAAAAAGUUAGCAAAAUGUUACAUUUUGGAUGGCCAAAAAUAUAGGAGAUACUUAUCCAGUUUACUGGGAAAAAAUAAGAGAAAAAUGCAUCAUACACCAUUGUUGUUGUCUUUUGGUGUUUCAUAGGAUAUGGUAUUAUUUUCUUGAGAAAUCAAUGACAGAAGUUCUUUUUGUAUGAGGUACAAGUGCAUCAUACACUAACAUCUGGAUUCUUUUCUUUUCUUUUCUUUCUUUCUUUYUUUUUUUUUUUUUUUUUUUGUUUCGCCAAAAACAUAUUGUUGCCAGUUUGGAAUAAUGAAAAUGGGAAGCAUUUUUUUGUUUUAUUGGUAGUUGGGGCAGGAUUAAGGUACAAUUCUGGUUCCAUUUAUUGAUCUUUUCCUUUUCUUGUAUGUGAUUUUGAAUGCUUGUUUAUUUUUUUAUGGUUUCAUAUAUUUCAGUUUUAAUCUGUUUUUUACGAUGCAAAAAAAAGGCUUAUUCAUGUCCCUUUCUUUUGAUUAUGAUUGUCAAUAGAUUUUUAUCCAUGCAAAGCAUAUGCUCAUUUUAGUAUCAAUUUUUUUUUUUGCCAUUUCUGUUGGGAUAGUGGAGAUUUUAUUUGUUCUAUUGAAAUGAAUAGGAUUUUUAUUGAAAAUUCAAAAAAUUAAGUCAUAUCCGUAGUUGAAAUUACUGAGAUUUGGCUACUCAAUUGAUAGAAAGGUUAUUAGCAAAACCUGUCAAGGGUUAGAGUAGUGGUAGUCCCUAAACCGAACUGUUAGAGAGAUAUAACUGUGGAUUACCUUUGUAUAUAGUUGUUUGAAACACGUAUGGAAAUACCAGGGAUAGUUUAAGCCCUCUUUGGUGGGUUAGGAGACUUGGUUAGAUGUCUUUAUAUUUAGGGAAGAUACUAUUAUUGAUUUGUUUUUCUUUAUUGAUUUAGUUUCUAUAUUAUUUAUACCUAGUAUUGGGAAUGGUAAAUCAUCUCUUAGUUAACAAUAAGUAGAGUUAAAAUAGUACCUAGUGCUUUAUGAUUGAAAAUAAUGGGUACUAUAUACUCUGGUUGUAUAGAACAGAAUUCUCAUCUAAUAUGAAGUUCUGAAUUUGAAAUUGUCAUGUCCAAUCAACUUUUCUUCCUAAGGCAUGGAUCUUUCGCUCACCGUAUAGCCAGAAACUAUUCGGGUAAGUCAUCAGUACAUUGAUUUGGAGUUCUUGAUACUAAAACUCUAUAAAUUUAACAACUUAUGGCAUGGUUACUGAGUCUUUUUAGUUUCUUGAUCCAUAUUUGACUUUGGGUUUGCAAUUUACUGUUUCCAGUGAAAGUCAGUUUGGUGGGGAUAAAUUUUAAAAUUCAUUUUUUUUUUCUGAUAAAUACCUGAUUUUGGCAAUUUUUCCUACAUAGAUCUGCUUCUUGGUUCAUGGCACAGGGCUAUUUUAUAUUAGCUUCUCUUAUUAAAAUCAAAUCUAUGAAAGAAUAAAACAUUUAGGUGCUUCAUUUUCAAAAUACCAAUUAGUUUCUAAAUUUUAGAUAAUUAUUUUAGUUUUCUUAGCUUUGUCAUUUUAAAGGAUCACUACCUAAUGUUGGUCCCAGCUAUCCGAGUCUUGGGAGGGAUUAAUCUCUACCUAAACUCUAUUGCUUAUGCACAAAAUGGAUGCUUUCAUCCUCAAACCACCAUUUUCACACUUUUCUUAGCUUUUCUCAUAUGACAACAAUGAGGUGAAUGGUGAAAAGCAUUAGUAGACUCUAAUUUGUUGGAAGAAAAUUUUAAAUACCUAUGCAACAAUUGAUGUUCAUCAGAAAUAACAAUUCUUCCACCAUAAUCUUAGUUUAGAGCAACAAUCUUGAUUAUCUAUAUUUAUGACCUUCAAAAAAUUUGGCUUUGACUGAUGUUGUAAUUGUGCCUUCUUGGCCAACUGGUGUUGGUUUAAUUGGUAGAUUAGUUAUGUUUAGAAUUUUAGUCACUAGAUAAUAUUGGAUUUUCUUAUGAUAAUGGCAAUUUGUUCUAGCUACUGGGACAAAUCUGUCUUUUGUCCUAUGAUCACUCCUAAACACAUCCUAUAUUUAUCAGAAUUGGAACAAGUGGCCUCAAUGAACUUGAGUACAAUCACUAGGACUUGCCUCAUCACUACUUAUGUGUAGUGGAACUAACAUUAGAAUUGGAAACAUAAACCUUGGGGACAUGAAGGAUGAACAUCACAUAGUUACUAAUAUUUAGAGUCACAAGCCUUAGCUUCCCCUAGGUUGUGAGGCUUGUCAGUAGAACUUAGUGAGCUAGAGCCCAUUGUGACUCAUCUAGAUCACAAGAUGUGAAUGGAUGUAAUCAAUCCAUGUAAAAUUUGAGAUUAUUGUAGUUGCAAUUAUGUGGUCUGAGGUGAAUGGAUAUUUCUAUAGCUUCUUUAAUACAUUUUUAGGCAACCACAUACAGGCUGUUCUCCUCUUGUCAGUUAAAGUUGCAUUUAAACUAUGGAGUUCCAUUUUUUCUUUGAUUGUUAUAUUGUUUUGUUUAUUUUUUACAGCCAAAAUAUCGUUUGAUUACAGAGAGGUAGUGUACUUGCUUGAAAAGUUAUUGCUUAUCAUGAUCAAUAUCUCAAAUGACAAAUCAUUUGAUGACUUUUAGGUAUAGUGAAGCAUGAAAUGGAAUUGAUGUAGUAAUGCAAGUCUGUAAUAUGAUUGAUUCAAGCUGUCUAUCUCCACUUCAGGUUUCUAAAGUUUAAACUUUCAGCAAUUACACCAAAUGCGGAUAUAUUUGGUAUUAUUGAUCCUUUCUCUUGUUGCAAUAGAAAUAUAAAAACAGAUUGACUUGUGUUAGUUCUAAAGACUCAUCCUUAAGUUCCCAUAUUUUAUUACAGUGAAAAGGAAUAUUACCUAAUGUUGGCCCUAGCUAUCUAGGAUCUUGGGAGGGGUGGACUGGAAAUGAACCAAACAUUCAGGCAUUUUCUUGAAUGAAUUGGCCACUCUCAGACUCAGAGCCUUCUUUCCCAUGUUUGUCAGAAUGGGAUUUUAACAUUGCACCAAACUUGCCAUUGUUGAGUAAGGAAUACUAAUAACAUGACAAUUAGCUUCACCUAGUAGAUUAUUGUAAAGGAAGGUUUUGACUUGAGUUCAUUAUUUCCCCAAAGCCUUCCUUUACAAUUUUCUAACAUGGUGGUUACUUCAGAGCCUCAUCAUCAUCAUCAACAACAUAAUAAUCGGACACAGGCUUCCUCUACAGUUGUUUGUACUGCAGUUCCGACAAGCUUCUUUCUCUCUCCUCAACUAAACAACUUUGGCAUCCAUUAUGGGGUUGAAGGAGAAAAUGGUGCACUCUACUCAUUUGUCUGUAAUGCCAUUGAAGUCUGAUGGUUUAUGUAGUGACAGAGUACCAAGUAUCAUCACUUUGUUAUUUAUGCUCCAUUUGUUUGCAGUGCAAAUGCAUUGCACUGAUAUAAAUGUAUAGGAGUGCAAUUUUUUGGUCAAUUUUUGCUUCAGGUUUUAGUUUUCUUAAAAAGAGAGUGCAAUUUUUAAAUAACUUUUGUUC